rnacentral:rRNA from 1 species
UACGUAGGGACCAAGCGUUGUUCGGAUUUACUGGGCGUAAAGAGCUCGUAGGCGGUCUGUUACGUCUGCUGUGAAAACCCGGGGCUUAACCCUGGGCUUGCAGUGGAUACGGGCAGACUAGAGGCAGGUAGGGGAGAAUGGAAUUCCCGGUGUAGCGGUGAAAUGCGCAGAUAUCAGGAGGAACACCGAUGGCGAAGGCAGGUCUCUGGGCCACUACUGACGCUGAGAAGCGAAAGCAUGGGGAGCGAACAGG